CAUCACACACUGGGGCCUGUUGUGGGGUGGGGGGAGGGGGGAGGGAUAGCAUUAGGAGAUAUACCUAAUGUAAAUGACGAGUUACUGGGUACAGCACACCAACAUGGCACAUGUAUACAUAUGUAACUAACCUGCACGUUGUGCAUACGAACCCUAAAACUUAAAGUAUAAUAAAAAAAAGAAAAAAAAACCCAGUAAGACAGAUAGAUGAUAGAUAGAUAGAUAGAUAGAUAGAUAGAUAGAUAGAUAGAUAGAUAACAUAGAUAGAUGCAUAGAUACAUAGAUAGAAGAAAGGGAAUUUAUCAGGAAAAUUGGCUUAUGGGAUUAUGGAAGCUGAGAAGUCUCAUGAUAGGCUGUCUGAAUUUGCAGAUACAGGGAUAUUGGUAGGUUGGUUCAGUCCAAAUCCAAAAGCCUCAGAAGCAGGCAAGCUGAUGGUAUAACUUUCAGUUGGAGGCCAGAGGCCUGAGAUCCCAGGGGGCUGUGGGUGCAAGUCCCAGAGUCCAAAGGCCAGAGAGCCUGAGGAUUCGAUGUCCAAGGGCAGAAGUAUGUCCCAAAUUCAGGCAAUGGAAACACCCUCAUAAUUCUGCUCAUUUAGAAGAUACAUAUUUUUCUUCUUCAGUAAAAUGCAGCGAUCACAGGACACAAUAUAGAUGCCUUCCGGACUGAAUGUGGAAUCUCCAUCCUGAGCAAUGCUGCCUGUUAGGAAGUCCUCUAAUAACUGAUUAUACAAGAGAACUUCUAAGCUUUUUAAAAUUAUGGGGUUAGUUAACAUCUAAAAUUGAAUUUAACACAGGACCUAAAGACUUAUGAGCUACCUGUUCAUAGAUAUGAUCAAUACUGCCUGUGGUCAAUUCUGAUGCAUAUUCUUAAAUAAACCAUUUUCAUUUGA